rnacentral:lncRNA from 1 species
GAUGCAACUUGGGAACCUUGGUUCUUCUCCCCCUUGCAUUUCACUGUGCCAAAUCACCUCUGAUUCCAUCCCAAUCUUGCACUGAACCCAACACGUUCCCACGACCCAACCACUCCUCUGCUCUUCGCUCUCUAAUUAUCUUCCCAUUCUGCUGACCCCAGCAGCCGAGUGGCAGUGCUUCAGAAGCACCACUCCACGCCUCCCAGAAGUUGGAAUCAUAGAACAGUUUGAGCUGGAAGGGUCCUUUAAAGGUCAGCUGCCCUGCAGUGAGCAGGGACACCCACAGCUCCAUCAGGUGCUCAGAGCCUCAGGGCCUCUUUCUUGUUCCAGAAUCCUCCUCCCCCUUAGCAAACAAUCCUUGGGGCAGAACACAGCUCCCCUUCAGCACCGUUAUUUUAAUUCUGGGUGAAAACACACAGAAAAAGCUGAGAUCUUCUGUUGAAAGGAGGACCCAACAUGUAAAAUGCAUUAGAAUGAGAACUUUAAGAGCAAUAUGGCACAUAUAAAUAUAUUUAAAAAUGAUGAAAAUACUGGCACUUCCACAAAAAAAUAAUGGGAGAAGGGCAGAACCACCAUCACACAACAGGAAAGAAGUGCCCUCUUCCACAGCUGAAGUCAGUGAGCCACUGAUUGCCUACAGGAGACAGGAGGGCCUGGCAACUCUACAAGGCUGGAGAUGAUCUGUGGAUGUGGACCCAACUGCGUGCACUGAGCUGCACCCUGAGCUGGAAGCUGGAGCAUGGUGACGUGUGGCAUACAUCAGUGAAUGGGAUGGAGGUGAGCGUGGAGCCGAUGGAAGGAUGGGUCAACCCCAUUGGAAAUGGUGGCACGUCCAUCAGUGGCCAUCGGGUAGGGUAGGACAAGCAUCCAUUUCUGCUCCUGUCUCCAUCUGUGCCAACCCCAGGUGCUCCCCAGUCCCUUUUCCUCAGGUUUAUGGCAUCCACUCUGCCUUGGCUGCAUAACGACUUGUGGGGACGCUUCCUAGGUCACUCCAGAUGUCAGCCAAGUGAUGUGCAAGCUCAGACUUCCCCUCGUUGAUGAGUUAAUCCUGCCUGCCUGCUUGAUGAAGGUUGAAAGCUCUCACGUGGCACCUUGUUCUGUUGUGUCAGUGGCAGAAAUGGAGCAACCUUCCUUGGGAGCUGCCUCCUGGCUGGAUGCGAGCAGCACUGCUCAGCUGCA